UACGUAGGGCGCAAGCGUUGUCCGGAAUUAUUGGGCGUAAAGAGCUCGUAGGCGGUCUGUCGCGUCCGUUGUGAAAACUCGAGGCUCAACCUCGGGCUUGCAGUGGAUACGGGCAGACUAGAGUGCGGUAGGGGAGACUGGAAUUCCUGGUGUAGCGGUGGAAUGCGCAGAUAUCAGGAGGAACGCCGAUGGCGAAGGCAGGUCUCUGGGCCGCAACUGACGCUGAGGAGCGAAAGCAUGGGGAGCGAACAGG
rnacentral:rRNA from 1 species